rnacentral:pre_miRNA from 1 species
UUAGCUCAUAUUUGUAUGUAGUGGGAUCGCUUGCGUACAUUUGCUGCUAAGGGCGCUGUUCCAACUGCAUACAAAAUUGGGUUC